rnacentral:misc_RNA from 1 species
AGUUUCCAGGAGACAAAAGAUCUAUGGAUCCUAGCAGACAUUGAUGGAAAUGGCAUUGUUGAUUAUGAAGAAUUUAAGCUGACGAUUUGGAGGUCAGCAUGUCUGGAGCAAGAGGAAGAUUGUGCUGCAAGUACAAAGGAGACUGAGCCAGGUGUAGAAGAAGCUAUCUGCUUCACGGGGGAAAAGAGCAGCAUCUUUUACAGUGAAGCCGAUAGCUUCUUCUACACCUGGCUCAGUCUCCUUGACUCACUGUUGUGUUUUCACCAGAGAGAAUGCUUUGCUCUCGGAAAAUCUUAUAAUCAACAAGGGUACGCUGGUGGAUCAAACUAGCACAAAAUGAUGUAUACGGUAGAGUCCAGAGCGUGUAGAUGACAAAUAACUGUGCAUAGUUCAUAGGCAUCCCUUGUUGGGUUGCCUGUGUCUUCGUUGAUUAAAUUUUCC